rnacentral:rRNA from 1 species
GACGAACGCUGGCGGCGUGCUUAACACAUGCAAGUCGAACGGUGAACCUCUUCGGAGGGGCUCAGUGGCGUACGGGUGGGUAACACGUGGGCAACCUGCCCCCGGCUCUGGGAUAACUGCAAGAAAUUGGGGCUAAUAAGGGAUGUUCACCGCUUCCCGCGUGGGGGGUGGUGGAAAGGGGUUGCGGCGGUGGGUGGGCCCGCGGCCUAUGAGCUUGGUGGUGGGGUAGUGGUGGACCAAGGCGACGAUGGGAAGGCGGCCUGGGAGGGGGACCGGCCACACGGGUCCUGCGAGACGGCGCAGACUGCAACGGUACGCAGCAGUGGGGAACAUUGCGCAAUGGGCGGAAGCCUGACGCAGCGACGCCGCGUUGGGGAUGACGGCCUUCGGGUUGUAAACCACUUUCAACAGGGACGAAGCGCAAUUGACGGUACCUGAAGAAGAAGCACCGGCUAACUACGUG